UCUUACGGGAGGCAGCAGUCGGGAAUAUUGGACAAUGGGCGCAAGCCUGAUCCAGCUACGCCAAGUGAGUGAUGAAGGCCUCCGGGUUGUAAAGCUCUGUCGUAAGGGAAGAUGAUGACCAGACCUUACAAGAAAGCACCGGCUAACUCCGUGCCAGCAGCCGCGGUAAUACGGAGGGUGCAAGCGUUACUCGGAAUUACUGGGCGUAAAGGGAGCGCAGGCGGUCUAUUAAGUCAGGUGUGAAAGCCCGGGGCUCAACCCCGGAACUGCACCUGAAACUGGUAGACUUGAGGAUGAGAGAGGAAAGUAGAAUUUCUGGUGUAGAGGUGAAAUUCGUUGAUAUCAGAAGGAAUACCCGUGGCGAAGGCGGCUUUCUGGCUCAUUUCUGACGCUGAGGCUCGAAAGUGUGGGUAGCAAACAGGAUUAGAUACCCUGGUAGUCCACACCGUAAACGAUGAAUGCUAGGCGACCGGUUCGUUUAUCGACUGGGUGCCGCAGUU
rnacentral:rRNA from 1 species